ensembl:lncRNA
GGUGGACCUCCCCCUCCUCUCCCUCAGCGAGGGGGAGAUAAGGGGGGAGGAGAGGACCCUAGUGAUGGUGGACCUCCCCCCCCUCUCCUGUCUCACCGCUCCCUCCUUCCUGAGGAGGAGCUGCGAUCGGAUUGGCUGAAACGUUCCCCCAGUCUCUCUCGUUCUGUUGAGUUAUUUUAAUAAGCUACGAGCUGAUUAAACCAAAGACACCUUUGGGAGAAAAAUUAAGUUCAUCUUGGAUCCAGCCGUCCUACGAUGGAGCAGAACCUUUGGGUGGAGACGGCAACGAGCCUCAGACGGACACCAAGGGGCCCUGAAGCCAUAGACCUAUAUACUAGAGAACGCAUUGACUACUUGGUCCUGUUGCCUGGUUACGUUAACGGCACCGCCAUAUUGGAGAGGUCAAGACCGGCCUGGAAACACAAAUUCAACAGGGGAGCUCUGGCUUAUCUGGAUGUAGAGUCUAUAACGUUCACAUUUCUCCACCUAUUUCAUCUUUACAUCUCCAAUAUGGCGUUUUGUACUGGUUUGUACUGGCCAAUGCAGUCUAUGAAUAAACGUCGAUGGCUAGAGCCUCUCUUACCCCAAGAACAAACCACUGAACCAGCACAGCUGCAGCUCAUUGGCCAAUCAUCCCAGCUCCUCCCUCCAUCCCAGUACAUGAUGCUUUGGGCCCAAAGAGAGGCAGAGGAAAAUAAAAGCGUCCAAUCAAUAACAGAACAGGAGAACUCUAAACGCUGCAGGAGAGAGGAUCCGGAAUCCCAUCCCGCCGUCCCGGGUGGAAGGCAGGACAGCUGCAGGAGCCGAACUCUCCAGGUUCCGCUCCGGGAUCGCUGCCGGGAUCGACGUGAGCGUUCAUAAUAAAUGGAAUCGUUUUUUUGUCGUUGAGCUUCUUCACGCCAACUGGCCAAUUAAAGCAGCUGCUGGAACCUCGGCUGGAACCGCAGUCAGGAGCAAACUCCGCGGCAAGAGGAAGACAGACGGCGCGGGCUGCUAUGAAAUGCAGCUUUUGUACCGGGACGUGUUUCCAUGGUUACACAAUUUUUCAUGGAGACGUUAUACGUCCUGAAAAUUGGAGGAGAGCCGCGAUAAGAUUAGUAUCUAAUCUCCAAGGAGAUAUAUGGGUUGAUGGACUGUGUCUGAGAGGGAACAAAAUAAAACAAAUAAAGCACAAACGGAACUCGAAAAAAACUUAUGCUGCUAAUAAAACAAAUGUCGUCCGCUGGUAGAAAGUUCAUACUGAGUUUGCCUGCGGCUCGCAGAAUAGCUGGAGAGAAGGACGGAUUGAUGAAUAGAAGACUAGAUCAUGAAUCCCAAAGGGCAGCGCUGGGCCUCUGAGCUCCAUGCUGCUCCUCACGGUGACGACACGUCAGGGGGAGAGAGGGCCGACUCUAACCAGAGUGGAGACCAACAGGAGCUCUUACAUCGGGAGGAUUGAGACAUACCUACACAAGCUGUGAUAUGAGAGCGGCCAUUUCCUGGUGGGAUCUGCAGUGACCAACACUAGUGUAAGUGUUACACAUACACUAACCACCUGUAAUAAUAUCACGUACAGUAACAACCUGUAACACAGUGAACGUAACCCGAGGAACAAGGGUCAGUGUUUGUCCUGUGCAGGAGAUCGACAGGGUGAUCUCUUUGAGACACAGAUAGAAAACAACUACUAAUAAAUCUGUUACGACAAUCAUCACAUAACAUUAUUACAUACGGGUAUAAAGACUAUUCAGUGUUCAACACAGAGUUAAAGACUAU